rnacentral:rRNA from 1 species
UACGUAGGGUGCAAGCGUUAAUCGGAAUUACUGGGCGUAAAGCGUGCGCAGGCGGUUAUAUAAGACAGAUGUGAAAUCCCCGGGCUCAACCUGGGAACUGCAUUUGUGACUGUAUAGCUAGAGUACGGUAGAGGGGGAUGGAAUUCCGCGUGUAGCAGUGAAAUGCGUAGAUAUGCGGAGGAACACUGAUGGCGAAGGCAAUCCCCUGGACCUGUACUGACGCUCAUGCACGAAAGCGUGGGGAGCAAACAGG